CUUAUUCUAUAGGAACUAGAAGUGACGGGCGGUUUGUACACUCUUAUUAACAUUCUUCAAAUUUUUAUAAUAAAAAAAUUUUACUUUUAAAUUCUUUUUAUAUCUUAAUAAUUAUUAACAUUUAAUUUAAUGGCUUACAAGUUUCCUUUAGUGUAAUCUUCAUCUUUACCUGUUUUUAGGAGUAAUUGAUUAUGAAGAAAGUAAUUUAAAAAACUUUCUUUAAACGGCGAUAUAAAAAAUGUAUAAACAAACUAAAGUAAGAUUUUAGGGGAUCAUCUUUUAGGCUCAUAAGCCUCUAAUAUGAAUAAGAGCCGCCAUAAAUUUUUGUUGUGUCGCCAAAGGAUGAUAAUUUUCGAUUUAUAGUGGGGUA
rnacentral:rRNA from 1 species